GUAGCUCUCUGCUAUGAGUUAAGGAGCCUGUCUCACAAGUUCCUCCAAUCAUGUCCUGGUCACUUUCUCCAGUCUGGAUCAGAUGCUCUGGAGGCUACAGAUGGGGCCACGAGUGGUUCAAGAAGGCUCAGGGAAGAAUCUGCCUGGCUGAGAAGAGAGUGUGGCUGCAUCUGAGGAGGGCAGUGGCUGACCCAGCUUCCGGUGUGCAGGAGGGCCACUGGGGAAGGGGCUGAAAAGAGGGGCUGAGCUGGGCCAGAUGGAGCCAAGGGGAUCGUUCCAACAUGAAUGUCACAACUGGAUUCAG